rnacentral:rRNA from 1 species
AUGCGGAGGGUGCAAGCGUUACUCGGAAUCACUGGGCGUAAAGCGCGCGCAGGCGGCUAUUUAAGUUGGAUGUGAAAGCCUACGGCUCAACCGUAGAACUGCAUCCAAAACUAUUUAGCUAGAGUGUGGGAGAGGAAGAUGGAAUUAGUUGUGUAGGGGUAAAAUCCGUAGAGAUAACUAGGAAUACCAAAAGCGAAGGCAAUCUUCUGGAACACUACUGACGCUGAGGCGCGAAAGCGUGGGGAGCAAACGGGAUUAGAAACCCCAGUAGUCC